rnacentral:tRNA from 1 species
GCAGGGGUAGCCAAGCGGCCAACGGCGCAGGUUCUUUGAUCCUGUCCCUUAGUGGGUUCGAGAGUUCAAAUCUCUCCCCCUGCA